AUACCUUUCUCAGCCUUUUGGCUAAGAUCAAGUGUAGUAUCAUAUCGGUUUAAUAUCUGAUAUGUGGGGCAUCACCCUUGCGUUGCACUACUGCAU